UACGGGGGGGGCAAGCGUUGUUCGGAAUUACUGGGCGUAAAGCGCGCGUAGGCGGCUCGUCAAGUCAGGCGUGAAAUCCUGAGGCUUAACCUCAGAAUUGCGUUUGAUACUGUUGAGCUAGAGUGUGGAAGAGGCUACUAGAAUUCCGUGUGUAGCGGUGAAAUGCGUAGAUAUCAGGAGGAACACCGGUGGUGUAGACGGCUUUCUGGACCGUAACUGACGCUGAGACACGAAAGCGUGGGUAGCAAACAGG
rnacentral:rRNA from 1 species